CCUACGGGAGGCAGCAGUGAGGAAUAUUCGACAAUGGACGGAAGCCUGAACGAGCCAUGCCGCGUGCAGGAAGACGGCCCUAUGAGUUUUAAACUGCUUUUGUACAAGGGUAAACGUGAAUACGUGUAUUCACCUGAAAGGACUGUACGAAUAAGGAACGGCAAACCACGUGCCAGGAGCCUCGGUAAUACGGAGGAUCCAAGCGUUAUCCGGAUUUAUUGGGUUUAAAGGGUGCGUAGGCGGAUUGGUAAGUUAGAGGUGAAAUGUACGAGCUUAACUCGGGAACUGCAUCUGAUACUGUUAGACUAGAGUGUAGAUGCGGAGGGCGGAAUGCAUGGUGUAGCGGUGAAAUGCUUAGAGAU
rnacentral:rRNA from 1 species